UAGGGAAUCUUCGGCAAUGGACGGAAGUCUGACCGAGCAACGCCGCGUGAGUGAAGAAGGUUUUCGGAUCGUAAAGCUCUGUUGUAAGAGAAGAACGAGUGUGAGAGUGGAAAGUUCACACUGUGACGGUAACUUACCAGAAAGGGACGGCUAACUACGUGCCAGCAGCCGCGGUAAUACGUAGGUCCCGAGCGUUAUCCGGAUUUAUUGGGCGUAAAGCGAGCGCAGGCGGUUAGAUAAGUCUGAAGUUAAAGGCUGUGGCUUAACCAUAGUACGCUUUGGAAACUGUUUAACUUGAGUGCAGAAGGGGAGAGUGGAAUUCCAUGUGUAGCGGUGAAAUGCGUAGAUAUAUGGAGGAACACCGGUGGCGAAAGCGGCUCUCUGGUCUGUAACUGACGCUGAGGCUCGAAAGCGUGGGGAGCAAACAGGAUUAGAUACCCUGGUAGUCCACGCCGUAACGAUGAGUGCUAGGUGUUGGGUCCUUUCCGGGACUCAGUGCCGCAGCUAACGCAUUAAGCACUCCGCCUGGGGAGUACGACCGCAAGGUU
rnacentral:rRNA from 1 species